GGGGGUGUAGCUCAGGUGGGAGAGCGUCUCGUUCGCAACGAGAAGGUCACCGGUUCGAAUCCGGUCAUCUCCA
rnacentral:tRNA from 1 species